rnacentral:misc_RNA from 1 species
AACGCACCUUGCACUCUCUGGUAUUCCGGAGAGUACGCCUGUUCGAGUGUCGUGAAACUCUCAAGCUGGAUGGGCUUUUAUUAGUCUGUCUUGGUUUGGAUGUGGACUCUUGCUGUGUUACAACGGCUGGUCUUAAAGGCAUUAGCUGAAUCUUGAUUGGGACUUGGUUCUUACUCGGCGUGAUAAUUAUCUGACCGCUGAGGACAUCUUUCGGGAUGGCCAGACUCUCUCUCGAAUCGCUUCUAACAUGCCGGAAAACUCUCUCUGAGACUUUUCCGUGCACUUUUCAACCUUUGACCUCGAAUCAGGUGGGACUACCCGCUGAACUUAA